GACGAACGCGUGGCGGCGUGGAUUAGGCAUGCAAGUCGAACGGUAUCAUCCUUUCGGGGGUGAGAGAGUGGCGAACUGGUGAGUAACACGUAGGUUAUCUACCCUCAAGACGGGGACAACCCGGGAAAACUUGGGCUAAUACCGGAUGUGAGCAACUUUUAGUUGUUUGAAAGGUGGCGUAAGCUGUCGCUUGGGGAUGAGCCUGCGUCCUAUUAGUUAGUUGGUGAGGUAACGGCUCACCUAGGCAAUGAUAGGUAGGCGGCCUUAACGGGUGGUCGCCCACACUGGGAUUGAGAUACGGCCCAGACUCCUACGGGAGGCAGCAGUCGAGAAUAGUCUACAAUGGUCGGAAGACUGAUAGUGCGACGCCGCGUGAACGAUGAAUCCCUUCGGGGUGUAAAGUUCUUUUAUAUGUGAGCAGUGCUUCUUAUAUUAACAGUAUGGGGAGAGAGAUAUUAGCAUAUGAAUAAGCAACGGCUAACUCCGUG
rnacentral:rRNA from 1 species